rnacentral:lncRNA from 1 species
UGGCUAUAAAUUACUAUUGGAUUCUGAUAUUAACUCAUGUACAAGAAGAAAACAAUAUACAAUAGUAUGGCGUUUAUCUAACAUUCCAGUUUCCCACACAAACUAUUAGGUAAGUGAGCAUCACAAAACAAAUAAUUUUACAAUCCUUGCUAUUCUAUACAUCCGCUUGAUCUCAAUAACGAAAUCCACUAUAAUAUUAACAAAUGAAAGCCAAAAUUGAUAUGUACAACAUAUCUAGUAACACAGGGCUGAUGAUCUAAUUCAGUGUUCUUUCAGCUCUUUCAGGUUCUUCUGGAAAACGAUGCACACUUCUUUCGAUUGGUGAGCCAGGUAUGAAAGGAACGAAACCACGUCCGCCAAAAACAGGACGCAUGAAAGCAUUAUCGAAUUUUCUCCAAUAAUAAUGGACAGUACGAGGGGAUAGGAGCAUCCGUAAACUGUUUGGACGGGGCACAUUUUGGUCAACUCCACUAGCUUCUGAAGUUUGUCCGUUUGUUAUGCUUUGUCCAUACAGAUUAGUUAAGGAGUCCUGCUCACCACCAAGAAGUGGCAGCGUGAUGGAAUGUGGGGUAACAGGCUCCGAUGAAAUCAUUCUGGUUAAUUGUUUUGAUGAAGGCAGUAAGAACCUCACCAGAGGUUUAGUGAUCAAGCCAAACACCU